GGGGGCACUAGGGUGGGGAGAUCUCGAGUUUAGGCCAUAAAAAAGAUCAGAAAGAGAAGAGCCCGAGAGAGAGGUGGCCCACCUUGGCCCCGGAGCUUGGGAGGGCGGGUCCCGGCUGGGGUUCGUGGGAUCUGGACCCACUCGCCCCCCGGGACGCGAGCGCGGCGGGGACCGGGCGCGCGAGGCUGCGCCGAGAGAGGGCGCCGGCCCAGGUGCGGCCUCUGGGUGUGGCCGAAGCCAGCCCAGGCGGCCCGGAUUGUCGUCCUCUGCGGAAGCGGCCCGGGCGCGGGAGCCGCGGGCGUAGCCAGCUCCGGAGCCCCGCGCCUCCGCCGCCCCGCGCGCCCUUCCUUUGUGUCUCCCAAGCAGGGGUGAACGCAGACCACUUGGAUUUGAUUUUUCCGUGCGAGUUCCCUUUUUUCCAAGUUCGGGGCCCCUCCUUCCCCCAGCGGCGCGCGCCCCCGGGGUGUCCGCCCCCUCCCCCUCCGGCCCAGCCCUGGGCGGGGCAGACGCCCUUGGAGUCGGGAGAAAAGACUAUCUGAUUUCAAAACCGACGCGACCCGAGCUGGGCUGCGGAAAUGGCGCCCAUGUCCCGGCUCCGGCCAGGUCGUGAUCAGGAGACAGGUGUGGCCCUGGGACCCGUUUGGAGAGCAGAGCGGGGGUUGAGCGGGGCCUGCGGCAGGGAAACCGGGAGAAGCAGGAGGCCGGGCGGGGCGGGGCAGGACGGUUGAGUCCUUCAUUGCUUCUAUCACAGACUGAGGAGCCUCUCCCCACCGCAAUCCCUUUAUACUGGGUAGGGGUUCGAAGGCACAGGGACAGAGUAUACAGGACACUGCUUGAGGCAGCGCGUCCACCCACCAUCUGUGCGACCUCAUCAAGUCACCUCUCUGAGCCUCAGUUUCCCGGUAUAAUGGAAACGGCAAUUUUAAAUGACACGUAAGUGCCUGGCACUCAUUGAGCUCAUCAAAUGAAGAGCCCCGUCUCUGGGCCCCCUUGCCCCUGAGGGAAAUGCACACACAAACCUAGAAAAUGUGCUGUAAUGCACAAUGUGGGACAGACCCAGUCACUCUCCUUUCAUUCUUCUUCCAUCGAAUAUUCUGAGGCUUCGGCGCCAGCCCUUUGCCGGCGGAUGCUGCCGAGAUGAAGACAGCAUGCUCGGCCUGGUGAAGCCAAUAAAAGAGCAGGCUCCCCUCCUGGGGCCAGGUGUCACCACAGAAGCAGGCCCUGGAAGAUGCCAGGAGCCAGCCAGCCCAGGGCCCUGUCCUACCCCCGGCCCUUCCGCGGGCGAGAGCCCAGGAUCUCCAGGUCCUGCCCUGCACUUGGAGAUUUGCUCCCUAACAGGUUUUUGGUUUUGUUUUUUUGAAUAGAGGCGGGGUUUUGCCGUGUUGCCCAGGCUGGUCUCAAACUCCUGGGCUCAAGCAAUCCUCCUGCCUCAGCCUCCCCAAAUUCUGGAAUUACAGGCGUGAGCCACAUGCCCAGUCUGUUGUUUUUCCUUUCUUUUCUUUUCUUUCUUUCUUUCUU
rnacentral:lncRNA from 1 species